GAUUGGGAAUGCUUGCUUCAGGCUGGUAGAGGAGGCAGCCAGGAGACAUACAACUUGCAGGAGCAGUGGCUACUGGACCAUGGGUGGAAAAGACUGGCAAAGAUCUAUUUCCAGUUCAAUCAGAUGGACAGAGGUGCGGGAUCUACAUGCUCAUG